AUGAAAUGUAGGAGUAUAUUUUACUGAACGUGACCAACUUCGAAGCACUCUGCUGUCAAAAGUCACUUCGAAGGGAUAUGGAUAUAAGUAUCCCUCCGAUCUGAGAUCACCACAGUGAUUUGUAAGCAACUCACUGUACUUUGGUGCCGGACUAUCUGAAUUUUUAAUUCAGGAUCGAAAGAUUUUUGGGUAUAGUCAAGUACUUAUGAAGUCAGUGCGUGAGUUAAGAUAGAAUUGACCACUC
rnacentral:lncRNA from 1 species